rnacentral:rRNA from 1 species
UACGGAGGGGGCUAGCGUUGUUCGGAAUUACUGGGCGUAAAGCGCACGUAGGCGGCUUUGUAAGUUAGAGGUGAAAGCCCAGGGCUUAACCCUGGAAUUGCCUUUAAGACUGCAUCGCUAGAAUCGUGGAGAGGUAAGUGGAAUUCCGAGUGUAGAGGUGAAAUUCGUAGAUAUUCGGAAGAACACCAGUGGCGAAGGCGACUUACUGGACACGUAUUGACGCUGAGGUGCGAAAGCGUGGGGAGCGAACAGG